rnacentral:lncRNA from 1 species
GCUUAGCUUACUCCAACAAAAGUCAAUUUCCAACUCUUAGGUUCCCAAAGUCAAGCUUUGGUUAUAACUACAAAAAGUAGCAAACGACAUUUUCUUUCUAUCACCAUUAAAUAAGCUUGGUUUGAUUUUUACGCCAUCCAAGCAAAGACAGCAUUUCGCAGUUCUUAAUUCCUGGUGGAAGACUUUGGUGCAACUGUUAGCUUGUUCUGUUGUUAAUUGCAGGCGAAGGACUUCAAUGGUCGAGUGCAGAUAUAAUUGAAAUAGACUGAGAACAGUCAGGUCAAUUUGCUGGAGUUGGUCCCGGUGCACGGUCCGUUGAGAGAUAGACUUAUAGUUGCAUUGAUAUUAGGUUUGAGAACUCGAGGCAUAUUUGUUCAAAGAGAGUUGGACCUCAGAACGAGAAUGAAAAUGAAUAAAUUUCAUUUCGAUCAUUUGAUUUUUGGGAGUUUCAUUUUAAUUUCGAUUUCGAUUCUGACUUCGAUUCAAGAUAGGAAUAGACAUAUCUCAAUUCUCCAAAAAUCCAAUUCCGAUAUUUCUUUAGUACUCAAAUUCUAUUCCGAUUUUGAUUUUGAUUCCAAUAAUGAACUAACCAUAUCGAGCAGUAUGAUCAUUUCGAUUUUCAUUCCAAUCCAUCUUAAUUUUGGUUCAUGAACCAAAUAUACCCCGGAUCUAUUCGUGACUCGAUGAGUCAUAUAACAUGUAUAUUUUAUCGGGCAAUUGGACUUUUCUUCGUCGGUGUUGCCGCUGGCCAACUUGCAAUUGUUUGGCAUAACCCCCAUGGACCAGAAUGGACGGCAGUUUGGAAGAUUAGGUUAGAUUUUCCCAACGCUGGGUGGUUACGUCACAAGCUCCAUUAAUGGGGCUACUGUUGACUUCCUCUCUGCUAAACCAAAGUCCUCGCAUCAAUAGAUCCAAACCUUGGGGGUAGUCCCCGUCCAAACAAAUACCCCA